rnacentral:rRNA from 1 species
GACGAACGCUGGCGGCGUGCCUAAUACAUGCAAGUCGAGCGGAACACUUGGAGCUUGCUCCAAGCGUUUAGCGGCGGACGGGUGAGUAACACGUGGGCAACCUGCCCUGCAGAUCGGGGUAACUCCGGGAAACCGGUGCUAAUACCGAAUAGUUUGAGGCCUCUCCUGAGGCUUCACGGAAAGACGGUUUCGGCUGUCACUGCAGGAUGGGCCCGCGGCGCAUUAGCUAGUUGGUGGGGUAACGGCCCACCAAGGCCACGAUGCGUAGCCGACCUGAGAGGGUGACCGGCCACACUGGGACUGAGACACGGCCCAGACUCCUACGGGAGGCAGCAGUAGGGAAUCUUCCGCAAUGGACGCAAGUCUGACGGAGCAACGCCGCGUGAGUGACGAAGGUUUUCGGAUCGUAAAACUCUGUUGUGAGGGAAGAACACGUACCAACUAACUAUUGGUACCUUGACGGUACCUCACCAGAAAGCCACGGCUAACUACGUGCCAGCCGCCGCAGUAAAAC